rnacentral:rRNA from 1 species
UCUAAUGAAAGCAGGAGGCGCGUAAAUUACCCAAUUCUAAAGAAGAGAGGUAGUGACAAGAAAUAACAAUGCAAGGCCAAUUUUUGGUUUUGUAAUUGGAAUGGUGGGAAUUUAAAACCUUCCCAGAGUAACAAUUGGAGGGCAAGUCUGGUGCCAGCAGCCGCGGUAAUUCCAGCUCCAAUAGCGUAUAUUAAAAUUGUUGCAGUUAAAACGCUCGUAGAUGAAU